UACGUAGGGUGCGAGCGUUAAUCGGAAUUACUGGGCGUAAAGAGCGCGCAGGCGGUCGUUCAAGUCGCGUGUGAAAGCCCCCGGCUCAACUGGGGAGGGUCACGCGAUACUGAUCGACUGGAAGGCAGGAGAGGGUAGUGGAAUUCCCGGUGUAGUGGUGAAAUGCGUAGAUAUCGGGAGGAACACCAGUGGCGAAGGCGACUACCUGGCCUGUUCUUGACGCUGAGGCGCGAAAGCUAGGGGAGCAAACGGG
rnacentral:rRNA from 1 species